UUAAUUAAAGCCAAAAUAGAGGCAUAUUAUUGUUAAUAAUACUAAUGAAAAUUAUAUUUCUAAUUAAA
rnacentral:tRNA from 1 species